rnacentral:rRNA from 1 species
GAUGAACGCUGGCGGCGUGCCUAAUACAUGCAAGUCGAGCGAACGGACGAGAAGCUUGCUUCUCUGAUGUUAGCGGCGGACGGGUGAGUAACACGUGGAUAACCUACCUAUAAGACUGGGAUAACUUCGGGAAACCGUAGCUAAUACCGGAUAAUAUUUUGAACCGCAUGGUUCAAAAGUGAAAGACGGUCUUGCUGUCACUUAUAGAUGGAUCCGUACUGCAUUAGCUAGUUGUUAAGGUAACGGCUUACCAAGGCAACGAUGCGUAGCCGACCUGAGAGGAGGAUCAGCCACACUGGAACUGAGACCCGGUCCAGACUACUACGGGAGACACCAGUAGGGCAUCUUCCGCAAUGAUCGAGUGCGUGACGGUGCAACGCAGCGUGUGUGAUGAAGGUCUUCGGAUCGUAAAACUCUGAUAUUAGGGAGGAACAUAUGUGUAAUGAACUGUGCACAUCUUGACGGUACCUAAUCAGAAAGCCACGGCUAACUACGCG